ACCCUGUGACUGCGUACCUUUUGUAUAAUGGGUCAGCGACUUAUAUUCUGUAGCAAGGUUAACCGUAUAGGGGAGCCGGAGGGAAACCGAGUCUUAACCGGGCGUUAAGUUGCAGGGUAUAGACCCGAAACCCGGUGAUCUAGCCAUGGGCAGGUUGAAGGUUGGGUAACACUAACUGGAGGACCGAACCGACUAAUGUUGAAAAA
rnacentral:rRNA from 1 species